rnacentral:rRNA from 1 species
GUAGGUGGCAAGCGUUGUCCGGAAUUAUUGGGCGUAAAGCGCGCGCAGGCGGUUCUUUAAGUCUGAUGUGAAAGCCCACGGCUCAACCGUGGAGGGUCAUUGGAAACUGGAGAACUUGAGUACAGAAGAGGAAAGCGGAAUUCCACGUGUAGCGGUGAAAUGCGUUGAGAUGUGGAGGAACACCAGUGGCGAAGGCGGCUUUCUGGUCUGUAACUGACGCUGAGGCGCGAAAGCGUGGGGAGCAAACAGGAUUAGAUACCCGUGGUAGUCCACGCCGUAAACGAUGAGUGCUAAGUGUUAGGGGGUUUCCGCCCCCCUUAGUGCUGCAGCUAACGCAUUAAGCACUCCGCCUGGGAGUACGGCCGCAAGGCUG